rnacentral:rRNA from 1 species
UGAGUUUGAUCCUGGUUCAGAACGAACGCUGGCGGCGUGCUUAACACAUGCAAGUCGAACGCGAAAGGGACUUCGGUCCCGAGUAGAGUGGCGCACGGGUGAGUAACGCGUAAGUAAUCUACCCCUGUAUCUGGAAUAACCCACCGAAAGGUGAGCUAAUACCGGAUACGUUUAUCUUGAUGCGAAUGAUGAUAAAGAAAGGUGGCCUCUUCAUGAAAGCUACCGUACAGGGACGAGCUUGCGUACCAUUAGCUGGUUGGUAGGGUAAUGGCCUACCAAGGCGACGAUGGUUAGCGGGUCUGAGAGGAUGAUCCGCCACACUGGAACUGAAACACGGACCAGACUCCUACGGGAGGCAGCAGUGAGGAAUAUUGCGCAAUGGGGGCAACCCUGACGCAGCGACGCCGCGUGGACGAUGAAGGCCCUUGGGUCGUAAAAUCCUGUCAGAUGGAAAGAAAUGUACAGGUGUUAAUAUCGCCUGUAUUUGACGGUACCAUCAAAGGAAGCACCGGCUAACUCCGUGUCAGCAGCCGCGGUAAUACGGAGGGUGCGAGCGUUGUUCGGAAUUACUGGGCGUAAAGCGCGCGUAGCGGUUUGCUAAGUCAGAUGUGAAAGCCCUCGGCUUACCCGGGGACGUGCAUUUGAAACUGGC